AUUGAACGCUGGCGGAAUGCUUUACACAUGCAAGUCGAACGGCAGCACGGGGCAACCUGGUGGCGAGUGGCGAACGGGUGGGUAAUACAUCGGAACGUGCCCAAUCGUGGGGGAUAACGUAGCGAAAGUUACGCUAAUACCGCAUACGAUCUACGGAUGAAAGCGGGGGAUCGCAAGACCUCGCGCGAGUGGAGCGGCCGAUGUCAGAUUAGGUAGUUGGUGGGGUAAAGGCUCACCAAGCCAACGAUCUGUAGCUGGUCUGAGAGGACGACCAGCCACACUGGAACUGAGACACGGUCCAGACUCCUACGGGAGGCAGCAGUGGGGAAUUUUGGACAAUGGGCGCAAGCCUGAUCCAGCCAUUCCGCGUGCAGGAUGAAGGCCUUCGGGUUGUAAACUGCUUUUGUACGGUAACGAAACGGCGAGCUCUAAUACAGUUUGCUAAUGACGGUACCGUAAGAAUAAGACACCGGCUAACUACCCCGUGCCAGCAGCCGCGGUAAACAUAC
rnacentral:rRNA from 1 species